AUUGAACGCUGGCGGAAUGCUUUACACAUGCAAGUCGAGCGGCAGCGCGGGGGCAACCCUGGCGGCGAGCGGCGAACGGGUGAGUAACACAUCGGAACGUACCCUGUCGUGGGGGAUAACGGAUCGAAAGAUUCGCUAAUACCGCAUACGACCUGAGGGGGGAAGCGGGGGAUCGCAAGACCUCGCGGGGGAGGAGCGGCGGAUGUCGGAUUAGCUAGUUGGUGAGGUAAAGGCUCACCAAGGCGACGAUCCGUAGCUGGGCUGAGAGGAUGAUCAGCCACACUGGGACUGAGACACGGCCCAGACUCCUACGGGAGGCAGCAGUGGGGAAUUUUGGACAAUGGGCGCAAGCCUGAUCCAGCCAUUCCGCGUGAGUGAAGAAGGCCUUCGGGUUGUAAAGCUCUUUCGGCAGGAACGAAACGGUGGGGGCUAAUACCUCUUAUCAAUGACGGUACCUGAAGAAGAAGCACCGGCUAACUACGUGCCAGCAGCCGCCGUAA
rnacentral:rRNA from 1 species